UCAUCCACUAUGAUAAUUCUUGCCUGUUAGUCUAUCUAAGAGGGCAGAUAAAAAUGAUUAUUCAAGAUUGCAUGAUUCGUGUUUAAGGUCUCUGCAUGAUUAGGGCUCAAGAAAAACAAAUUCAAUUUAAUUUAAU